rnacentral:lncRNA from 1 species
GGGGGGGGUGCAACAUAUGGAAGAAUGGAGAACUGAGACACUAAAUGAUUAUGGAAGUUGAUCAAGUGGAGGAGCAAAGCCCUGAAUUAAAACAGUGGGGUUCAAGAAUGUCUGUGUGCUCCAGCACUACACUGUGUAAAUUGCAACCAAGAUUCUAGUUAAGGUUCCGAGCCUUGCAUUGCCUAUGUGUAAAUUAUGAAAUCGGUUUAGACAGUUUCUAAACUAUCCUUAAUCUCUAAUAUUAAAAUUAAGCUCAUAUUACGAUAGCAAGGUGUCUGUCAUAGAGCUGCAGGUCAGUAAGACACUUAGAGAUUCAUGGGUUGUAAUGACAAUGAUAUGAAGUGCCAAACUCCAUCCUUUCCACAAGGCCUUUCAUUUUGGUGGGAUUUAGUACUGAUACAUGUCUUUCUGAAGACCCACAAGAAAUGAACCUCCAAUCUGGAAAGUGACUGGCAGGAGAAGCUGUUAUUGUGUGCUUCAAUGAUAGCUAUUUUUAUUAGUUUUUACCACUUUAGCUGAAGCAUUUCUGAUGAAAUAAACCCUCGUGUUUGUGUGUUUGGCUUGAUUACUCAAUCUAUGCAUUAGACAAAAAGCAGAGAUCAUCCAGCAGAUCCUUAGGAAUAAAAUAAUACAGUUUAAAAAUAUUCAGGAGGAACAGAAAGAUUUUACCUGAGCAUAUAGAAAGGUCGCACAGAGUCCAGAGCUGUAAACAAAUUCUGAUGUCUAAUUUUGUUAGGUAUAGUUAUAUUAUAGUAAUCAGAAGUUACAACAACAGUUACAGCUUUUGUUUUGGAAAAGUAAUAUUCAAGAUCAAUUGGUGGUAUAGUUCUGAAAUACUAACUAGGAUCAUAAGUUUAGAAUAAGCUGAUAAAACAAAGAGCUAUUCAGUCCUUAAAUUGUCAGGUACAGGGAAAUUGAUUAAUGCAGAUAUUUAUAGAGGCUGCCAAUUACUGUGCAUCCUAGUUCCUUGGUGAAAGGUAUGAAAUCUGAAAGACUUUUCAAGAGGUCUGCUUUUCUUUUAUUAUGUUUUUCUCCCAUUUCUUCAGAUAAAACUAUGUGAAGGGAGGUUAAUGAAUAAAAAUUAAUGGAGAAAUACCUUGAAAAAGAAAUCAUGGGAGAGAUCUCAGGAUACAUUCAAAUAUAAUAAGGCUUCUAGACUCCGUUUUGUGGUAGAAUUUUAUGCACUAUCUGAAAUUCCAUUCUUGAGCAAAUUGAUUGGAAUAAGUAAUUGAAUUCUACCAAUACCGUAUUUCCCUUCCAGUAGUUUCUCUUACUUUUUGUCUGUCAUGGUAGGGAUGCAUUUGUUCCUUUUUUGAGGCAUUCUUUUUUACAAAAUAUAAGUAAAAGUUGAACAAAAACAUUUCUGAGCCUGAGAAGAGUUAUGUUUCAUUGAAGAAAGGAUAAUUUAAUUAUAUGAACAUUAAUUAUAUUUUGUUUUUACUACUUUUAGAUUUUGCAAGGAAAGAUGGUCUUAUAAAGACAAAAGAAAACCAUUAAGGUAACAAACAAGUACACAAAGAAAACCUUCAAAUGACAACAAUAAAAAAAAAAAUGCUAGCUGACUAGCAUUGUUGUUAGUAUUGACUUCAGAAAAAAAUCUAAUCAAUGAUUCAUUUUACUCUCAGCAAAGAACUGUUCUUACAUAGCAUGUGUUUAAUGAUUUUAGACUCAUUUCUUGUUCAGUUUCACUGCAUAAUUAUAAAGCAAAGUCAGAAGUGCUAUGAGGAAUUGAACUCUGCCUACUCGCAUCCAUCUGCAGUACAUUUUCUGUUCACUCACCCUGCUGCUUCUGACUCUGUCACAUACAGGGGAAAAUCAUAUCUGUUUAGAACUUCUAGGAUAAAAGGUCUUCUCUAAAAUUUGAAAACCCCAUAAUAAUAAGACAAAUGCCAACAUGAAAUGGAUAAACAUUUUACUGACAAAUCAUAAAAGAGGGAAUGAAUUAACACUCAACUCAUUCCAUUGCUAAACACUCAUGGUGACAGAACUUAACAUCUGGACUAAAGAAGCCAGAUGGUUACAGUGAGAGAAAUAGGCAACUUAAAAUCUUUAGAAAACUAAGAGCUCCCCAGGAGAGGGAAAAUGAUAAAGGUCCAUAGAGCUCAAGUUCAUCUAAGACUAUAAAUAGCCAUGAUUUUAUUUUAUAGGCACAGCUGGAAUUAUGAGUAACAUCAAGAGGCAUAUGAAGCACAUUGUAUGGAGAGAGUUGGGUCAUUGUAAUCCUUCCCUCUUUUAUACUUUCAAUAUUAAUGGUGGAUUACUUAUAAUAUUAAUAACUCCAGGAUGUUUGCAACCUUGCCGCCCUAGUUCCCGGAAGAGUGUUUAACACAAAGCAGCCUUUCAGUACAUACUUGAUGAAUGUAAGAAUGAAUGAAUGCAUUGAUGGAAAUACCUGCAUCUAAAGAUUUUUAAGAGUACAUAUUGUUCACAUAAUUGUUAAUGUUACAAGGGAAGCAAACUAUUAAAUCAUCUCUUUGCCAGAUAUUAUGGAAAAUGUUGCUCACUCCAUGUUUAAGUAGAAAUUUUAGAUUAUUUUUUGUUCUUCUGUAUAUUUAACCUUCUUUUCAAAGUCUAUACAUGUUCAAAAAUUGUUGUCUGCCUCUCAAGUUGUUCAAAGAAUUUGCUCCUCAGGUUGCCUAUUUAUUCUAGCCAGGCUUCAAAAAUCAAAUGUGAGACCUGCAUUUAUGCCAGUAAAAUAUUGUUCAGUGUAGAACAAUGAGUAGAAGUGGUGGCAUGACAUUCAUUAUUGGACUAUAACAAAAGAACUUAUUAACCAAUAAGCAUCACUUGUUUAGAGACACUGCAUGCAUGCACGUGAAUGCACACACACACAAACGUACACACCUCUCAACUGAAAUCCUCAGAACAAUCACCCCAGGAGUUUUGCUGCCUCAUUGCCAAAUACUAGAUGAUCUAUUAACAGAUAUUUAAUUUUAAUCACAAACUGGCUACCUAAUGAGAUUUUCAUUAAAAAGCAAGUCAUUUUUGUAUGUAAAAAGUCUUUCUUCCAUAGGUUUAAACUAUGAAUCCUAUAAUAAUGGAUUUAGAGUAAUGCUUGCACUAAGAGUAUGAUGACAGAGAGUUUGGCAAUUCUAGGGGAAAAUACAAGUAGUCUUUUUGACUUUAUUGGAAGAUUUAAAGGAUUUUGAUUUUGUUUUCCUGUUAUUUCUUUGUUUAGGACCCUCAGCUCUCGUUCAGUUUUCAGAUACACAUUUCAGUCAAUUAAAACACAGUAUUUUAAAGUAUGUGCAUAAAUUAUUUGCCCCAAGAAACAUUUUUUUCCCAUCUUUUUAGAGUCGCACCUAUGGCAUAUGAAAGUUUCCAGGCUAGGGGUCGAAUCGCAGUUGCCGGCAUACACAACAGCUACAGUAACUUGGUAUCCUAGCAAGGUCUGAGAUCUACACCACAGCUCAUGGCAGCAACUCCAGAUCAUUAACACACUGAGCGAGGCCAGGGAUUGAACCUGUGUCCUCAUGGAUACUAGUUGGGUUCGUUGCCACUGAGCCACAAAAGGAACUCCCAAGAAGCAUUUUUAUAGUUCAUAUUAUCCAUAAGUGUUAUAUAAAUCACAUAAUUUAAUUUUGCUUAUUUUCAAUAUUUCAAAAAGUAAAUGUAAAAAAAAAAAAUCCUGUUUUCUUUGCUUGCCAAGUAAGGAGCAAGAGCCUUUUGAAAUGUUGAGUACUGGUUAAACCACAGUGAUUCUAACAUAACUUAGAAUCUUAGAAUCUAGCAUUCAUGUACUAGAGUACCCAUGGAGUGUCUUAGAAAAAUUUGUAAAUAAGAUAGCGAUGUCCAAGUCUAUGUUUAGCUGUGAUCCCACCUCUUCCUCUUGUGAUUUAUACCAGAUGUAGGCUAAUAUAAAUGACUCUUGAAGUCUUGUUUCAUAUCUGCUUUAAAUGAGUUGAACAUGUUUACCAAUGUCGAGAGAAUUAUUUAAAAAAAAUCAGGUGUGGCAUGUUCAGUAAUUAGAUUUAAUGAGCAACUUUUCAGUGGCUAUCUUAAUAAUUAUCAAUUCUUUCCAUGUAUAAAAAACUAUUGUUCAAGCACUUCAGAGCUCAAAACCACAUAAGAGUGUACAUGAUUCACCUUUCUAUGUAAACAUCCCAUUAAGAUGUCUGAUAUUAUUGCUGAUCCUAUCGCUAUCAUAAUUCUAUUUUCUCACCAUAAUAUGUAUACCAAAAUCUUAAUCUUGCAAGAACAAGAUUCAACUGCAAUGCUUAACUGUGGUUAGCAAAACCAGUUUUAUACUAUUAACAUGUAAUGAAAAUUCUUGUAAUGGUUCUUCUGUUAGUUUGCAGGAUCUGUCACAGCAAAUAAUUGCAGACUAGCUGCCUUAAACAAGAAAAAUAGGUUGUCACACAGUUCUGGAGGCCCUUUCAAUACCUCAGUUUUUGGACAGCGAAGCACCUUUUUCAGGCCUCUCUUCUUGGUUCGUUGAUGGUCAUCCUCCUAUGUUUGUUCCAUUUUCUUCUCUCUCUCUAUGUAUCUCUGUGUCUAAAUUACCUUUUUGUAUGGAUAUCAGUUAUAUCAGAUUAGGGUCUGUGAUAGUAACUUCAGUUCAACUUGAUUACCUCCAUAAAGAUCCUGUCUCAGAAUAAGGUUAGGACUCUAACAUGUGAAUGCGGGGUAAACACAUUUAACCCGUAACAGUUCUUCAUACGAAAAAGACAGUACUUUACCAUCAAAUGAUUAGCUAAAUGAUUAAGAACAAGCCUCUGGAUUCAGAUAUCAUGCGUAUUAGGGCCAGAAUUUCUGGCCCUAACUGGUGUUCCACUUUGGGUGUGUAUAAGCUCUUUGUGCUCUGAUUUUUUAUCUAUAGAAUAGAGAUAAUGUUAAUAACUAGUUAACAUUGAGUUGGUCGUAGAAUUAUGAUUGUGUGUACAGACACACACACACAUGAUAUGUAUUCUUGGCAAAUAAAAAGCUAUUUUAAAGUG